AGCUUCCAAGAGUUCCUCAAGUGCCUCAACCCGACCUUCAAUCCUCCAGAGAAGAAGUGUGCCCUGGAGGAUGAGACAUACGCAGACGGAGCGGAGACUGAAGUGGACUGUAACCGCUGUGUCUGUGCCUGCGGAAACUGGGUCUGCACAGCCAUGACCUGUGACGG